rnacentral:rRNA from 1 species
AACGAACGUUAGCGGCGCGCCUAACACAUGCAAGUCGCACGAGAAGAGGCUUCGGCCUUUGUAAAGUGGCGCACGGGUGAGUAACACGUGGGUAAUGUACCUUCGGGCGGGGGAUAACAUUCCGAAAGGAAUGCUAAUACCGCAUAGGACCACGACCUCGAGAGGGGUUGGGGUGAAAGCAGGCCUCUAUAUAUAAGCUUGCACCUGAAGAUCAGCCCGCGGCCCAUCAGCUAGUUGGUAGGGUAAUGGCCUACCAAGGCUAAGACGGGUACCUGGUCUGAGAGGAUGAUCAGGCACACUGGAACUGAGACACGGUCCAGACUCCUACGGGAGGCAGCAGUGGGGAAUCUUGCGCAAUGGGCGAAAGCCUGACGCAGCGACGCCGCGUGAGUGAUGAAGGCCUCGGUGUAAGACUCUGUGGGAGGAGAAGAAUAAGUACGUUGGCGUAACAAUCCACGAUGAUGACGGUAUCUCCUUAG